GUAUGUGAUCGUCUCUCGCAUAUCAAUAAGCGGAGGAAAAGAAACUAACAAGGAUUCCCUUAGUAACGGCGAGUGAAGCGGGAAGAGCUCAAAUUUGAAAUCUUCAAGGUUUUACCUUGACGAAUUGUAGUUUAAAGAAGUGUUUUCUGUUGAAGCUUUGGUAAAAGUUCUUUGGAAUAGGACAUCAUAGAGGGUGAGAAUCCCGUAUUUGACCAUUAUUUUCAGCUGUGUGAUACACUUUCAAAGAGUCGGAUUGUUUGGGAAUGCAAAUCCAAAAUGGGUGGUAAAUUUCAUCUAAAGCUAAAUAUUGGCGAGAGACCGAUAGCGAACAAGUACCGUGAGGGAAAGAUGAAAAGAACUUUGAAAAGAGAGUUAAACAGUACGUGAAAUUGUCAAAAGGGAAGCGUUUGACACCAGUGUUGUUUUCUCGAAAAUCAAUUAAAAAGAGUUAGAUUUUGUUGUGUAUUGACCUUAACAGCUUGCAUUUCAAUUUUCUUGCUUUUUUUAAUGCACUUUUCGUUUAACAAGUCAACAUCAGUUUCUUUUGUUGUAAAAAGGUCAUUGGAAGGUGGCUUUCUUUUCGGAGAAAGUGUUUAUAGCCUUUGACUCCUGCAAUCGGAGAGACUGAGGUCUGCAGCGUAGAUCCUUCGGGGUUAGAUACAUUUGUGCUAAGUUAUAGCUUUUUAUAGACAACUUGUUGACUAUGAUUAGUCUUGUAGCUUACUCGCUUAUGCUAUUUUACCUACGCUUAGGAUGUUGAAGAUGUAGCACAUCAU
rnacentral:rRNA from 1 species